GGUAGAGCUAGGAUCCACCCCUUCCCAGACCUCAUUUAAGGGUUGGCAGUGGAUGUGAAGGUCUCUCAUCAGGAGGCCCCUGCUUUCCUGAGGAUUUUGCAGGCCUUCUGAAGAUGAGGAGACUGCAGAACAAAAUUCAUAUUCCAAACUGAGUUCUUCUGUCCCCCUCCUUUCUCACAGAACAUUACAUGGGAACCUUCCAUAGGUUAUCUCUGGGGUCUCUUGAAAGCUUUGGAAUGAAGAGAAUCCAGUGGAAAGAGCCAUGAUAACAUAAACCACCUUAAGAAUGUUAUAUAAAUGACUCUCUGGACCAUUUUGGAGAAGUUUCUUUGGUUGAAUAUACAGCAACCUAAGGAAUGCACUCUAUCCCUAAACUAAUCUCCAGCUCUGCAACAUAACCCAGACUGCUAAGGAAGAUGACAUGAUCCUUGACUGAUCAGCACCGGCAAGACUAAGUUCUGAUCUCUACGCUGCUCAUGUGAUCUUCCAACCUCACACACUAUCCUGCUAGUUCUCAAAUCCACCUCACUGAUUUCAUAGAAGAACAGAAUAAACGGGGAGAUGCCAGAUGAAAUCUUUAUAUAGUACUGCUUCUGUAAAGAUGCUUAAAAAAUCUGAAUGAAGAAAAAUAUGAUGCAAAAAUAAAACAAUGUGUGUGAUAUGCAAAUAGAUCUCUUAAUUUUGUAAAGAUUAAGGAUGGCCUACUAAAACUCGCAGAAAUGCUGCUGGUGAUUGAAUCCUCAUCUGUGCAAAAUUUAAGUAAAGCUAUUCAAUGUAGACAGAACAUAUGUCUAUCUUGUAAACAAAAUACAACCUGACAAUCAUUUAGUAUUCUCAUUCUCCUCAAAGGAAUUGCUGUGCUUGCUGUUGCUAAGCAUUGUUUGAAGUUAGAGUGCUUGAUUUGAUGUCUAUAUAUGUCUGGUCAUCAAUAUAUAUGACUUAGUAAAAGGAAUAAUUUGGUUUAGCUGUUUCAAGUUGUUCUGAUAUAUGGCUGAUGUCUGGGUAACUUUUAUCUGUUCUUAAAGACACCACUUUGAUUUAUCACUAACUGAAGUGGGUACAAACACACUGGAGAAAACUCAUUUAUUUCUGACAAGGGCUUGUAGAGCAAAUUAAAGGGAAAGAAAAGCAAGCAUAUUAUGAAAUACAUCUUUAAGUGUUUUUUAUGAAAUAAAAUUUCAAUUAAAAUUCUGGAAACAAAUUAUGCAGUUGCAUAUUGACUACACAGAUUAAAGAUCUUUUUCUGUAUCAAUUGAUUAUGAAUUUGACAGUAGCUCCAUGGUGGUUCUCUUUUGACUGGUGGAAUUAUAGCCAGUGUUGUAGAAAAGAUUUGAACAUCAGCAAAAAGUAUUGUUUUAAUGAAAUUAUGACUGUCAAAUGGGAGGUGCUUCAGCAUGGAU